rnacentral:lncRNA from 1 species
AUGGAGUUAUAUCACUGAGUGUGUCUGGGUUACAGGAUUUUACUCGGUGCCCCGUGCAAACAGCUUACUGCUGAUUAAACAUUGAUUUUCCUCGGCACCCUCUCACCCUGAUAAAUAGAGCAUUAAGAGUUCUCCACAAAUAAUAACAUUUGGAAUAAUAAAAUUUGUUAUAUCUGAUGAACCACAAUGCUUUGAGAAAUAUAUUGGAUUAUUGCAUAGUGCAAGUGAGGGUUAUUAUAUCCUUCAGUCCACAGACAUACCCUUACCAUAUUUUAAUGGCAAUAGUCAAAAAAGUAAAUAAAUAAAUAAAAAAUAUAUAUAUUCCCCCCUGCAGGUUAUCCAUGCUCUCUGUCUGUCUAUCUAUCUAUCUUUUUUCUCCAGGUUUCCUGAUGAACAGCAAUGGAAGUGAGGUGAAACAGCGAGGAGGAAGAGAGUGUGAAUAAAAGUUUAGCUUGCAGAGCAGACUCUUUCUUCUAUCAUGGGCCGGGCAGCUGUCGGAGCCAUCCAGAGGCAUCACUCACCACUGAUGAACAUAUCAGUCCAGUCCAAGCACUCUCCUAGAAGCUCCUCACGCUACCAUGAAGAAGAGGGAGCUCACCGCAUUGAUCCAGACACACCCGGCUCCUCGCCAUCCAUCAUAAGACCAACACUCCCCUCACGCUGCUCAAGGUCCACGUGUCCUCCUUUCUGCUUUUAGCCGCUCAGCACUAUCAGCUAGAUGCUUGAUGGAUUCCCAGGGAGGCCCUGCUUGGAAUGUUUUCCUCAGAAACCUUAAUUUCUUUGUGACUGAUGAAGGAAAGACAUUAACAUCUUGAAUGACAUGGUGCUGAGUAAAUUAUCAGGAACUUUUUAUCCUGGAAGUGAACUAAUCCUUGUUUUUACCCUUUAAAUAAUGAUGGGUCCUUUUAAGCAUGGCUCUGCACUUAAUCUUCACUCAUUUUGUUUUAACAGUCAAAGCCCAGUCCUGCAAUUAGACUGAAUGUCACCAGACUCUGCGCGUUCAUGCCUCACUCUCUCUCUCAAUACCCUCCACACACCCUCACAGUC